AGGCUACCGCUAUUGGAGUUCGAUUAAGCCAUGCGAGUCGCGAGAAUUAGAUUCUCGGCGUACCGCUCAGUAACACGUGGGUAACCUGCCCUAUGCUGGAUAAUAACCUCGGGAAACUGAGAAUAAUGAUCUAUAGUUCACUACGCCUGGAACGGUGAGUGGAUGAAAGCUCCGGCGGCAUAGGAUGGGCCUGCGGCGUAUCAGGUUGUAGGGGGUGUAAUGUACCCUCUAGCCCUCUACGCGUACGGGUGUUGAGAGACAUCGCCCGGAGAUGGAUUCUGAGACACGAAUCCAGACCCUACGGGGUGCAGCAGGCGCGAAAACUUGGCAAUGCGAGAAAUCGUGACCAGGGAACUCCAAGUGCAUGGGGUAAGACCUAUGCUUUUCUAGACUCUAAAAAGGUCUUGGAAUAAGAGGUGGGUAAGGACGGUGCCAGCCGCCGCGGUAAUACCGGCGCCUCAAGUGGUAGUCGCUUUUAUUGGGCCUAAAACGUCCGUAGCCGGUCUGAUACAUUCGUGGGUAAAUCAACCAGCUUAACUGGUUGAACUCUGCGAGGACGGUCAGACUUGGGACCGGGAGAGGUGUGGGGUACGCUCAGGGUAGGGGUAAAAUCCUGUCAUCCUGAGCGGACCACCUGUUGCGAAGGCGCCACACUAGAACGGAUCCGACGGUCAGGGACGAAGCCUAGGGGCACGAACCGGAUUAGAUACCCGGGUAGUCCUAGGUGUAAACGCUGUGGACUUGAUGUUGGGGGUGCUCCGAGCACUCUCAGUGUCGAAGCGAAGGCGAUAAGUCCACUGCCUGGGAAGUACGGUCGCAAGGCUGAAACUUAAAGGAAUUGGCGGGGGAGCACCGCAACCUGAGGAUUGUGCGGUUU
rnacentral:rRNA from 1 species